AUAAUGACUCUCGGCAACGGAUAUCUCGGCUCUCGCAUCGAUGAAGAACGCAGCGAAAUGCGAUACCUGGUGUGAAUUGCAGAAUCCCGUGAAUCAUCGAGUCUUUGAACGCAAGUUGCGCCCGAGGUCUUUUGGCCGAGGGCACGCCUGCYUGGGCGUCACG
rnacentral:rRNA from 1 species